AGUGAACGCUGGCGGUAGGCCUAACACAUGCAAGUCGAACGGCAGCACAGUAAGAGCUUGCUCUUACGGGUGGCGAGUGGCGGACGGGUGAGGAAUACAUCGGAAUCUACUUUUUCGUGGGGGAUAACGUAGGGAAACUUACGCUAAUACCGCAUACGGCCUACGGGUGAAAGCAGGGGAUCUUCGGACCUUGCGCGAUUGAAUGAGCCGAUGUCGGAUUAGCUAGUUGGCGGGGUAAAGGCCCACCAAGGCGACGAUCCGUAGCUGGUCUGAGAGGAUGAUCAGCCACACUGGAACUGAGACACGGUCCAGACUCCUACGGGAGGCAGCAGUGGGGAAUAUUGGACAAUGGGCGCAAGCCUGAUCCAGCCAUACCGCGUGGGUAAAGAAGGCCUUCGGGUUGUAAAGCCCUUUUGUUGGGAAAGAAAAGCAGCAGGUUAAUACCCCGCUGUUCUGACGGUACCCAAAGAAUAAGCACCGGCUAACUUCGUG
rnacentral:rRNA from 1 species